AACUAUAACGCACCACAAAACAAUAUAACUAGGGUACUAACAAAAAGCAGCAGCUGACCGCUGCCUCUUCCUUCCCCAAUGCCUACCUGUAUGGUCCAAGAAGAAGAAGAGUUUGGAUUUGAUAUCCCGCUUUAUCACUACCCGAAGGAGUCUCAAAGCGGCUAACAUUCUCCUUUCCCUUCCUCCCCCACAACAAACACUCUGUGAGGUGAGUGGGGCUGAGAGACUUCAAAGAAGUGUGACUGGCUCAAGGACACCCAGCAGCUGCAUGUGGAGGAGCGGAGACGCGAACCCGGUUCCCCAGAUUACGAAUCUACCACUCUUAACCACUACCCCACACUGGCUCCAAGUCUUACAGUUUCAAAGGAAGUUCAUUGAGAUCCUUCCCAGUGCCCCUCCUGCCUGAAUCAGGGAUAAGCCAUGAAAACAAGCUUCUGAAGGGAGCAAGUACUCAAAAAGAGGUGAAAUGUCCUUCCUUUUUGCUCCCAAAACAAGGCCAAAGGACUGAGCGAGGUUUCUUCCAGAUGGUAGGGGCUUGGGUGUGCAUGUGCGCAGUAUAUGCUUUUCAGACAACCACAGUGAUAGUGAUGCAAGAAUAAAUAAAACUAAUACUUCAGAACAAA